CUUGCGCAGUGGGAGACAGCAUUCAAGCAGAAAGUCAUCAAAGAAGCAAAGCCUCUCACUUUGAGAGCAGAACUUCAAAGUUAUAUCAGUGCAGCAAAGAAACAACAGUAUGAAAAUUACUGGAAUGGUAAAAUUUCCUCUUUCUUGCUGCUGCUGUAUUUGCCACCACCUUCUGCAUGGAGAAACAAGGCUAAAAUCAGUCCAACUGAUGCUGUUGACAGGCUCGUACAUUUUUAUAAGUCCUGUACCAGCAUUGAAGAACAUCUCAGCAGAAAAGAAAGUUACCAACCAUGCCUACUUGCAGUAGGACAAACCAAGAAGAGGAUCGACAAUUUUGAUGUGGUUGUUGACAAGCAGUUCAUCCCUUGUGCAGGAACCACCUCCCUGAGUGACAUAAAGGAACUUUUCAAAGUUCAUUAUGUUUUUAACUUUGCCUAUGAAGAAUCUCUGGCAAA